AUUGAACGCUGGCGGCAGGCCUAACACAUGCAAGUCGAACGAGUGGCGGACGGGUGAGUACUGUCUGGGAAACUGCCUGAUGGAGGGGGAUAACUCCUGUAACCGUUAGCUAAUACCGCAUACCCUCGGAUGUGCCCCGAUGGGAUUAGCUAGUAGGUGGGGUAACGGCUCACCUAGGCGACGAUCCCUAGCUGGUCUGAGAGGAUGACCAGCCACACUGGAACUGAGACACGGUCCAGACUCCUACGGGAGGCAGCAUGGGGGAAUAUUGCACAAUGGGCGCAAGCCUGAUGCAGCCAUGCCGCGUGUAUGAAGAAGGCCUUCGGGUUGUAAAGUACUUGCAGCGGGGAGGCGUUACCCGAAGAAGAAGCACCGGCUAACUCCGUGCCAGCAGCCGCGGUAAUAC
rnacentral:rRNA from 1 species